AUACGGAGGGUCCGAGCGUUAAUCGGAAUUACUGGGCGUAAAGCGCGCGUAGGUGGAUGUAUAAGUCAGAUGUGAAAGCCCUGGGCUCAACCUAGGAACUGCAUUUGAAACUGUACGUCUAGAGUAUGGUAGAGGUGAGUGGAAUUUCAGGUGUAGCGGUGAAAUGCGUAGAGAUCUGAAGGAACAUCAGUGGCGAAGGCGACUCACUGGGCCAUUACUGACACUGAGGUGCGAAAGCGUGGGUAGCAAACAGGAUUAGAAACCCCAGUAGUCC
rnacentral:rRNA from 1 species